GUUGAAGUAGUAUGGAUAUCCGAUAUGACCGCAAUAUGUGUCGUUAUAAAUAUUGCUGUGUUCAAAUAUGAAAACUCGUAAGAUAUCACUAAAUACUGGGUAAAUAUUCGAUUGUAGUUUCCUAAAAGUUACAAGAACCACUGAGAACAUGAAGUAACUUAUGCGAUAAUCAGAAAUGAACCAUGCGCCGUUCUUCUGACUCACGUUGCGUGUAUUCGACAAAUUAUUAAACUAAACAAACCAAUUACCCCAUGCUAGAUAUUUCUUUCUACUUCUAAUGCAUAGAGGCAUCCGGAAUCAAAAAUGGCGGUUACCAAGCACUGUUUAAAAAAUUGAGUAUCACGAAAACAUAGUCACCCAUGUAGUAAUAACCAUCGAUCUUAAUGGAUUAACUAGAUACUAAGAUAAUCGACUCGAUGAGAAGAAACGUAAGAUUUAUUUGCAAUGCUUACCUUGUUGAAAGUAAUUGGCUUUUCGAAGAAAUACGCAGACCAAGGCCAUAAGCUGUAGCUGGGAAAGUCUCUGACGGGUUGA